rnacentral:rRNA from 1 species
AGCGCAAAUGAAAUACCACCACUUGGAACGUUGCUUCACUUAUCGAAUGAAGAGACCAAUGGUUUUGCGUAGUCUACGGGCUGCGCGCCGUCUUGGCUUGGGAUUAUGGGUGCUCUGCACUUUCACGAGUGGCUCUGCCAUUGCGUAUCUUCGGGUGCGCCUCGUGAGGACCCAGCCGUGGAGACCGUGUGCACCAAUCCGUUCGCCUUCGGGUGGGCGGAGAGUCUUGUUUCGAGACAUCUGCCAGAUGGGGAGUUUGGCUGGGGCGGCAUAUCUGUUACACAACAACGCAGGUGUCCUAAGGCAAGCUCAGUGGGAACAGAAAUCUCACGUGGAACACAAGCGUAUAGGCUUGCUUGAUUAACGAUUUUCAGUACGAAUCGAGACUGUGAAAGCAAGGCCAGCGAUCCUUUGCGAAAUAUAGGAAAUAUGAACAGAUCAUACCAGAGGUGUCAG